UUUUAUUUGAGAGUUUGAUCCUGGCUCAGGAUGAACGCUGGCGGCGUGCCUAACACAUGCAAGUUGAGCGAUUUACUUCGGUAAAGAGCGGCGGACGGGUGAGUAACGCGUGGGUAACCUACCCUGUACACACGGAUAACAUACCGAAAGGUAUGCUAAUACGGGAUAAUAUAUUUGAGAGGCAUCUCUUGAAUAUCAAAGGUGAGCCAGUACAGGAUGGACCCGCGUCUGAUUAGCUAGUUGGUAAGGUAACGGCUUACCAAGGCGACGAUCAGUAGCCGACCUGAGAGGGUGAUCGGCCACAUUGGAACUGAGACACGGUCCAAACUCCUACGGGAGGCAGCAGUGGGGAAUAUUGCACAAUGGGCGAAAGCCUGAUGCAGCAACGCCGCGUGAGUGAUGAAGGCCUU
rnacentral:rRNA from 1 species